rnacentral:rRNA from 1 species
GACGUAGGGCGCAAGCGUUGUCCGGAUUUAUUGGGCGUAAAGAGCUCGUAGGCGGCCUGUCGCGUCGACCGUGAAAACCCGCAGCUCAACUGCGGGCUUGCGGUCGAUACGGGCAGGCUCGAGUUCGGUAGGGGAGACUGGAAUUCCUGGUGUAGCGGUGAAAUGCGCAGAUAUCAGGAGGAACACCGAUGGCGAAGGCAGGUCUCUGGGCCACUACUGACGCUGAGAAGCGAAAGCAUGGGGAGCGAACAGG